GCCUGGCACAGUGGCUGUGCCUGUCAUCCCUGUUACUUGGGAGACUGAGGCAGGAGGAUCACAAGUGCAAGGUCAGCCCCAGCAAUGUAGCAAGACCCUGUCUCAA
rnacentral:sRNA from 1 species